rnacentral:rRNA from 1 species
UGGUGAGGUAACGGCUCACCAAGGCGACGAUGUCUAGGGGUCCUGAGAGGGUUAUCCCCCACACUGGUACUGAGACACGGACCAGACUCCUACGGGAGGCAGCAGUAAGGAAUAUUGGUCAAUGGGCGCAAGCCUGAACCAGCCAUGCCGCGUGCAGGAAGACGGUCCUAUGGGUUGUAAACUGCUUUUGUCAGGGAAUAAACCUGUCUACGUGUAGGCAGCUGAAGGUACCUGAAGAAUAAGCAUCGGCUGGCUCCGUGCCAGCAGCCGCGGUAAUACGGAGGAUGCAAGCGUUAUCCGGAUUCAUUGGGUUUAAAGGGUGCGCAGGCGGAUUGAUAAGUCAGGGGUGAAAUCCCACAGCUCAACUGUGGAACUGCCCUUGAUACUGUUAGUCUAGAGUAUAGUUGAAGUUGGCGGAAUGUGUCAUGUAGCGGUGAAAUGCUUAGAUAUGACACAGAACACCGAUCGCGAAGGCAGCUAGCUAAGCUAUAACUGACGCUCAUGCACGAAAGCGUGGGGAUCAAACAGGAUUAGAUACCCUGGUAGUCCACGCUGUAAACGAUGAUUACUCGAUGUUGGCGAUACACAGUCAGCGUCUAAGGGAAACCAAUAAGUAAUCCACCUGGGGAGUACGAUCGCAAGAUUGAAACUCAAAGGAAUUGACGGGGGCCCGCACAAGCGGAGGAGCCUGUGGUUUAAUUCGAUGGUACGCGAGGAACCUUACCUGGGCUAGAACGUAGAGAGACUAUAGGAGAAAUCUUAUUUUCCCUUCGGGGCUGUCUACGAGGUGCUGCAUGGUUGUCGUCAG